rnacentral:antisense_RNA from 1 species
GUUUUUUUUUAGAUUAAUUUAUAAUUAAGUAUUUCUCCAAAUAAUGUAUUUUCCAGAAUUUGAAUAAAUUUCAGGUUGUUCAAAUUGUAGAGCUUUGGGAUUAAUAUUUAUAAAACUGGGAGGUAUAUUAACUCCUCUAUAAGUUGUCUCAGUUGAGCAUACUGUAAAGUUUAAGAGCGAAUAGGGAAAAAUAAGCUCAACCAAGUUCGAAUAGAUUUCCUUCUGAGUAAGUUUUUUAGAAUUCUCAGAGAACUUGGCAAUUUUAGGAUGAAGUUCAAUCAACCAAAUAGGAUCUAUUUCUUUAAUUGGACAAUUUAGAAAUGGCUGUAUACCGGCCCCAAAAGGAUCAGGAGCAGAAUAUAAAAAUUCGUUAUAUUUAUUAGAAUUUAUUUUCUCAAGGAACUUUUGUGAAUAGCUUGGAAUUCCUGUUUCAAGGCCAAUAUUUAGCAAAUAUGAGUUAAUUGCUGGAGAAUUAAAAGCUUGCCCUUGAAGUGAUGAAAAGUUGUUCCCAGUCCUAUUAUAUUUAUUUUCCUUAUAUAUUAUUCUAAGCUUAAUACUACCAUACAUUCUUAAUUGGAUGAAUGAAAAUUUCUUAUUGAGUCCGUUCUUUCCAAGAACUUCUUUGGGGUUGUUGAUGGUCCAAAUAAUGUGUUUCUUGUCAUUUGAGAUGAUUAUUUGACCCAUACUAGAUUUAAGGGUAUGACUAAAUAUCAUUACGCUUGGUAUAUUUUGUUUACUAAAGCUGCUGUUGUUCCCACUAUUGUUGAUACUUUCCAGGGUUCCUGGUAAGAGUGGGAUUGAGACUUGACAAACUUGCAUUCCUUUUACAAUUGCAGGGUCAAAACAAAGACAAUAUUCCAUUUGGAAUGAAUGAGUUAAAAUAGGUCUAAAGUGACCUUGAGACUGGGUAAUUUGUUUGAUAGGUUCUUUAGAUUCUGGAGAAAUAGUAAAAUAGCCUUUAAUUGGGAUAUCCAAUUCAUAUGGAUACCAAUAAGUAAAAAUUUUUGAAGAAUUGCUUUGAGAGCUAUUCCAACUUAAUUUGAAUCUAGAUAUAGGAGUAGAUGAUUCAUUUGAAGGCAUAUAAAUCUCGGAAUUAUGCCUAAUAGGAG